rnacentral:rRNA from 1 species
AAUAUUGGGCAAUGGGCGAAAGCCUGACCCAGCAACGCCGCGUGAGGGAAGAAGGUUUUCGGAUUGUAAACCUCUGUCCGAAGGGGCAGCGGGACGGUACCUGAGGAAGAAGCCCCGGCUAACUACGUGCCAGCAGCCGCGGUAAUACGUAGGGGGCAAGCGUUAUCCGGAUUUACUGGGUGUAAAGGGAGCGUAGACGGCAAGGCAAGCCUGGAGUGAAAGGCGGGGGCCCAACCCCCGGACUGCUCUGGGAACCGCCUGGCUGGAGUGCAGGAGGGGUAAGCGGAAUUCCUAGUGUAGCGGUGAAAUGCGUAGAUAUUAGGAGGAACACCGGUGGCGAAGGCGGCUUACUGGACUGUGACUGACGUUGAGGCUCGAAAGCGUGGGGAGCGAA